AUGAAGUAGUUGAUGAAUAUGAAAGUACAUGGCCACUGGGAAGGGCCUUUCCAGCCCCACGUGAGGUCCUUUUUGCGGCAUUUGUAAUAAUAAUGGCUUCUUCUUUCUUUCCAGAUCUGAAGACAGCAUGUACACAGCUAUUCCCCAGAGUGGCUCUCCAUUCCCAGGCUCAGUGCAGGAUCCAGGCCUGCAUGUGUGGCGGGUGGAGAAGCUGAAGCCAGUGCCCGUGGCACGAGAGAACCAGGGUGUCUUCUUCUCGGGGGACUCCUACCUAGUGCUGCACAAUGGCCCAGAAGAGGUUUCCCAUCUGCACCUGUGGAUAGGUCAGCAGUCAUCUCGGGAUGAGCAGGGGGCCUGUGCUGUGCUGGCUGUGCACCUCAACACGCUGCUGGGAGAGCGGCCUGUGCAGCACCGCGAGGUGCAGGGCAAUGAGUCCGACCUCUUCAUGAGCUACUUCCCACGAGGCCUCAAGUACCAGGAAGGUGGUGUGGAGUCAGCAUUUCACAAGACCUCCACAGGAGCCCCAGCUGCCAUCAAGAAACUCUACCAGGUGAAGGGGAAGAAGAACAUCCGUGCCACCGAGCGGGCACUGAACUGGGACAGCUUCAACACUGGGGACUGCUUCAUCCUGGACCUGGGCCAGAACAUCUUCGCCUGGUGUGGUGGAAAGUCCAACAUCCUGGAACGCAACAAGGCGAGGGACCUGGCAAAGCCCAGGUGGAGAUUGUCACUGAUGGGGAGGAGCCUGCUGAGAUGAUCCAGGUCCUGGGCCCCAAGCCUGCUCUGAAGGAGGGCAACCCCGAGGAAGACCUCACAGCUGACAAGGCAAAUGCCCAGGCCGCAGCGCUGUAUAAGGUCUCUGAUGCCACUGGACAGAUGAACCUGACCAAGGUGGCCGACUCCAGCCCCUUUGCCCUUGAACUGCUGAUAUCUGAUGACUGCUUCGUGCUGGACAACGGGCUCUGUGGCAAGAUCUAUAUCUGGAAGGGGCGAAAAGCGAAUGAGAAGGAGCGGCAGGCAGCCCUGCAAGUGGCCGAGGGCUUCAUCUCACGCAUGCAGUACGCCCUGAACACUCAGGUGGAGAUUCUGCCCCAGGGCCGUGAGAGUCCCAUCUUCAAGCAAUUUUUCAAGGACUGGAAAUGAGGGUGGGCGUCUUCCUGCCCCAUGCUUCCCUGCCCCCCACCGCCUACCUACUUGCUUCUCUGGCUGCCUGGUCAGUGCAGAGGUGCCCCCUGCAGGUGUUCAAUAAAGGAGAUAAGUGCUUUCCCAG